CGGGGGAGGCCGGAUCCUGGGCUGUGUCCCGGGGCCCAGUGCUCCCGGUCUGCGCUGUUGGAUUCAUGCUCCCACCCUGCAGCCCCCU
rnacentral:pre_miRNA from 1 species